rnacentral:rRNA from 1 species
CCUACGGGAGGCAGCAGUGAGGAAUAUUGGUCAAUGGACGAGAGUCUGAACCAGCCACGUAGCGUGAAUGAUGACUGCCCUCUGGGUUGUAAACUUCUUUUAUAUGGGAAUAAAAUGUUCCACGUGUGGGAUUUUGUAUGUACCAUAUGAAUAAGAAUCGGCUAACUCCGUGCCAGCACCCGCGGUAAUACGGAGGAUCCGAUCGUUAUCCGUAUCUAUUGGGUUUAAAGGGAACGUAUGUGGAUUGUUAAAGCAGUUGGGAAAGUUUGCGGCUCAACCGUAAAAUUGCAGUUGAAACUGGCAGUCUUGAGUACAGUAGAGGUGGGUGGAAGUCGUGGUGUAGCGGUGAAAUGCUUAGAUAUCACGAAGAACUCCGAUUGCGAAGGCAGCUCACUGGACUGCAACUGACACUGAGGCUCGAAAGUGUGGGUAUCAAACAGGAUUAGAUACCCGGGUAGUC